rnacentral:rRNA from 1 species
AUUGAACGCUGGCGGCAGGCCUAACACAUGCAAGUCGAGCGCGAGGCGGACGGGUGAGUGAUAUAUGGGGGACUUCCUGCUGUCGGGGGGUAACUCAUGUGAACAGUAGCUAAUACCGCGUACCAUCUGGUGUACGCCUAUGGGAUUAGCUUUUAGGUGAGGUAAAGGCUCACCUAGGCGACGAUCCCUAGCUGGUCUGAGAGGAUGAUCAGCCACACUGGAACUGAGACACGGUCCAGACUCCUACGGGAGGCAGCAGUGGGGAAUAUUGCACAAUGGGCGCAAGCCUGAUGCAGCCAUGCCGCGUGUAUGAAGAAGGCCUUAGGGUUGUAAAGCACUUUCAGCGGGGAGGCGUUACUCGCAGAAGAAGCACCGGCUAACUCCGUGCCAGCAGCCGCGGUAAUUC